GAUGAAGAACGCAGUGAAAUGCGAUAAGUAAUGUGAAUUGCAGAAUUCAGUGAAUCAUCGAAUCUUUGAACGCACAUUGCGCCCGCCAGUAUUCUGGCGGGCAUGCCUGUUCGAGCGUCAUUUCAACCAUCAAGCCCCAGGCUUGUGUUGGGGACCUGCGGCUGCCGCAGGCCCUGAAAACCAGUGGCGGGCUCGCUGUCACACCGGGCGUAGUAGAUUUUAUCUCGCUCAGGGCGUGCUGCGGGUUCCGGCCGUUAAAAAGCCUUUUUUACCCAAGGUUGACCUCGGAUCGGGUAGGAAUACCCGCUGAACUUAAGCAUAUCAAUAAGCGGAGGA
rnacentral:misc_RNA from 1 species